CAGCCACCCAGGAAGGAAGCAUUUGUUCCUUUCAGACCAAGGACCUGGCUGGCCACGUGGCCACGCUGCUGAAAAGCUCUAUGCCACAUAUAAGUGAGCUCCUACACUAUUUGUGCCUCUCUGACGGAUGGAUUUCACCAGGCCAUUUGUUUCCUUCUUCCUCAGCAUCUGCCUGGCACUGAUGAGAACUCUCCUGAAUCCUGGAGUAAAGGCACAGUUUACCCUGCCCGCAAGCAGAAGUUGAAGGAAAUUACAAAGCAAACUCUGCAUAAUGAACAUCUUGCCAGGAAAAUGUGUCUGAUCCCCAAGGAAAGGGGGUUGGAUGAGACCAGAGAUGGCAGCGGCAUUUUCUCUGUCACAAUUUGGAACUCUUUGUCAACAACAGCUCCCUGUUUUGAAGCGUAUAGAAGCCAUCUCAAGAAGCAAGGACGUUCUGGAGACAGAAUUGGACAGAGAGAACCACAGACGAGGAUGUUACUCAAAACAGCUCACUUUUCAUCUCAGUAUUGUCAGAAUUUUUCCUUGCAUCCCACACUCACUAAUCACAGCGCUGUAUAGAAGACAAACCUUUUCCAGAUGCUUUGGUGAAUUUACUGUUUUUUCCCUUAUAGAGAUGAUAACUAACUUUUGAGAAGGGCUUUACAAUUUAAAAAGCAUGCAACUUUUCAUUUUCAUAAUAAUCCUUUGAAGUUGCAUAAUAAUAAAAAUAAUAUCGUAAUUGUUGUUAUGCUUAUUUUUAUAAAUAUAAAUGCUAAAGCACAGACUCUAGUCAUCCAAGUAAUUAGUGGUGGAGCAGAAAUUUUAAAAUGCAAACAACUGAACCCCAAAUUCCCUGCUUUCCUUCCUCCUUUUGGAAUGACAAUGGGAUAGAAUAACACAUGCAUAAUUUAAUCAUUAAUAAAUUGAUUUUUUUAGUAAGAGCGUAGAGAAAUGCAAUACGUCAUUUUGUGUAUUCUUUAAAAUCCUUUGCUCAGAGAACUUAAAGUUUAUAUUUUCACGUGUAUGGACUUACACAAUACUUGUACUGUUUUGAAAUAUUUAGGAGAGGGGGAAAUGUAGUUCUCUACCAUGAGAAUAAACGAACACCAUCAGGCGAGGGGCUGACCCCACCCAAGCACCCUGACUGCUCCAUGCAUUGUUGGUGGCGUCUAUCAAAGUUGGCAAUGGGAGGCACUGGAACCAGCAUGCUGCACAUUCCGCUGGGAAUCUUCGCCAUCCCUCCAGAGUGCACCAAGGGACAGACUCUUCCUCCUCCUGUUGCUCCCUUUUGCCCCCCACUCAGUGCCUUCCAGAAAUCAGCCCGGGCUGUUAAUACUUGGUUUGUAGUGUGAAUACUGACCAUUUCUAUCUUACUGACGAGAGAAGUGAAACAAAGAGGGGUCGUCAGACAUCUACAGUGAAUCAGAAGAGGACGUCAGAAACUUCCCACAAAUGCUGUGUGCUUGCUUCUGAUGGCUUUAUGAGACUCUCUUUCAGCUAAAUUAAAAAAUGAACGUCAGAAAAAGAACCUUUGCAGCUUUUUUUUUAUCCCAAGGACUAGGCUCCCUUUCCAACCCAGAAUGGCUUCUCACGAAUACAGGCUAUUUUUCAACAACAGAUGGGUCUACAAGUGACAAGAGCCCUCCUCAUUCGUCUGGUGGCAUGUGGACUUCUUCAAUUGUCCAUGUGUUUCAGAUUGGUCUGGAGGGACCACACGACACUAAUGCAGUUUCCUCCUAAUGUGCUGCCUCUCUGUCAGCCCUGAUGUUCAGGCAUCCACAUUCAGACGCAGACCUCCAACAGGCCAGCAUGAGAGGCAUGGAGUUCAGUGGAGAUUUGCCAAAACCACGAGCCAGGAUUUGAGUGAGGGUAGUGAUAAUACAAUUUCAAUUUCAUACCAUCUGUCCCCAGAUUUCUUUCACUACCAGGAUGGUCACUGGCUUUGGAGAAUGGUCAAAAGGCUGGGGUUCUGGAAUGUUCUGCAUGGAGUUGAAGGGAGCAGGCAUCCCUGGAAACUCCAUGUCUGGUUCUUGCCAUGGGGAAGUGGCUAAGAUUGCUGCCUUCCAUUAAGAAGAGAUGUACUUGAAAGUCCUAAUGAAAACAGUGUUAAGCCUUCAGGAGCUGGCUCUGUGUCUGGGAGGCUGGGCAAGAGAUGUCAGAUUGCUCCACAGGCAAGAGGGAGAGAAAACAUAGGCAGCCUGGGAAAAGGGAGUAAAAGAUGUGCUGACAUUCUUCUCAGCAGGAAGCAUGCUUUCUUCUUGGGAGAGUAAAGCCUUACCACCUACUGUUGAACUGCAAGCCCCUUCCAACCUCUUUCUCCAGGGACGUCUCACCAUUCCAAUAGGAGCCUAAGCCAUACAACAAAAACAACAACAAGAAAGGCUUUUUUUGGCCACUGAGUCAGAGAUUUUUUUUAAAUGGUGGAUUAUUUUACACAAGCUCUUGGGUGAUUAUUUUCUUUGCUCCCAGGCAAUCUGGAUUAAUUGAUACAAUAAAGGUCUUGGAAGCCCUAAAAUGUUGGUCCAAUUCCCAACUCUGACACAAAGAAGCUAGUCGAGUUGCAAGAGAAUAUGUAGAAAUAUCAACAACAAUUUUCCUAUCUGCAAAACAAGGUUGGGGCACCACUGGGAAUGCUGUGGCAUGAAAAAAGUCGUGUUCCAAAUGCUAAGUAGUCAGCAGUUGGCGUUCCGCACUGAGUCUCUUGACAUAAGUAAGCUGAUUGCUCAUGAGAUGAUAAUACUGGCUUAGCUUUUAAACGUGGGCUUCAAAAGUAUAAGUUUCAAAGUCAUCAGAGAAACAGAAUAUUGCAAGUAGAAAAAAACUUUAGGCAAGAAUCGCAAGGUCAACUUCCCUUAUUUCACUCAAGGCCCAGGGAGGUUAGCGACCUGGCCCAGGCCACCGACAGGGUUAGCGGCAAGCCAGGACGAGAAUGCUGGGCUUUUCCUUUGAUCUGCACCGUGUUCUAUAAACUAAGUUGUUUUGUGCAUACCUGCUUUCUGUGAGGAUUCCUGAGGGAAGGAUCAUAGCGUGGGUUUUUCAGGGACCUAGAUGGGUGAUUUGGGGGUCACGUGCAAGGGCACUCUUUGAGACAGCUGCCUUCCUAUCAUGUACAGCACUCAUUCCUUCAUGACAGAGAGGCCAGCAUCUCCUAUCAGUCGCCGAAGUCUUAGAAGGCAUGAAAAUAAACAAAGCCUGACAACUCUGUUCCCGUGUUAUGACCUGUUCACCUUCCUGCCACUUCCAACUUCACUCCUGUCUGAGUGGCCUCCAUGUUAUUGAAGUCAGCAGGCCUUCAGAAAUCAGGCAGCGUGCGCUGCAGCUGCCAGCAGGAAUGGCCAUGGGGCCGGUGGGUCUGGGCCCUUUAACUCCGGGUUAGCGCUGGCACAGGGGAACUGAGGCCACCAUCCAGACCACUUUUAGUCUCGAAAUUUUCUAGUGCUGCCCCUCCUGUUUUCUUAAUCAUUUCAUGUCUUAUAAUCACUAAGGUUUUCACUGAUCAAUAUUAUUUUUUGAAGCACUCAGGAGCCUACUUUCUUCUGGAACUGGAAUGUCCCAGCAGACAACGUGAAUGAGAGCCUUGGUAACCCCUUAAAAAUACUAAGUAAAUCCAAUUUACAGUUUACUGUGAAUGACAUUAACCAUCCUGUAUCAGAUUUAUUUCAAAUCAAAGUAGAAGCAACUUGAAUAAGCAUCUGUGAACUGGUGAACCAAAUGUGGUAUAUCUAUGCACUGGAAUAUUAUUUAGCAAUAAAAAAAAGCACUGGGAUACGUUGAAACAUAGAUGAACCUUAAAAUGUUACGUCAAGUGAGAGAAGGCAGACAAAAAAAGACCACGUGUUCUUUGAUUUCUUUUACAUGAAAUGCCCUGAAGAGGCAAAUCUAUAGACAGAAAGCAGAGUCGUGAUUACUAAGGGCGGGGAGUGGGAAUGCGGAGUGACUGCAAAUGGGCACAAGGUUUGUUGUAAAGUCAGAUAAUGGUGAUGGUUGCACAAGUCUGUAAACUUUCCAAAAUCAUUGAAUUGAACACUUCUGAUAAGUGAAUUUUAUGGUUUGGAAGUCAUACCUCAAUAAUGCUUUAAAACAAUCAUGCAACAGACUCCCCAGCUCUUAGCACAGAGGCCAUCUUUGGAGUGAUGACUGGUGCGGCCGCGACACCGGACUGCUGGAGCAUCAGAGUUUCCCUCAGCCCCUGCACCGCUCAUGGAGAGCCAUCAACCUGCAAGUCAGGGCCGGACAUGAUGCAACAAUUUACAAAAUCAACGAGCUGCUCUUGCCAGGUGAAGUCUGACAAAAGCCUCAGUUCAGGGACAAGUGCACUCAAAGGGAAAAGCUCUCGGCAGUGGCAACAAUUUAGAUUUGCAAUUAAGACACUUAAAGUGUUUAGGGCUGACAAGGAGUUAAAGUAAAUGUUGAUUCAGUUGUAAAGUUUUCAGAGCCACAGCCUUGCAAAGGGUCUUGCACAACUGCCGGGUUUUAUUCAUUUAUGCACUGUUAUUGUCUUAAUAUUCUCUUUGUUUUUCCCCAGAAAAUUUCCAACUAGCUCUGGGACCCUUAGCAGGGGAGACUGGAAACAGGUCUGAAAAAUGCAGUCAAGAUAAUUUCAAAAAAUCACCCUUUAACGAGUACCAUAUUCCCUCCAAUUUUCCCUUAUAUGUGAUCCACCAUUUUGCAAAUACUGAUGUAUAAAGAAUGCAUUGAAUGUGGCAAAAGUUGAAGAUAGCCCCUGUGGAUAAGACCUAAUGGACACCAUCCUGAAAUAAUACAUAUAGCUCAGCCUCCAGACAUGUGUCUUCAAUUUAAAAUAAUUCAGCAAUCAUGUUCAACCAAAACCUGAUUACACAAAAUGGGACUUUUUAACUCCCAGACUUGGAUCAAAUUUUGAGGCCACAAAAAAAAGGGGAGGGGGAGAUAAUGUGUACCAUGUUUAUAUACUCCAGAUACUGUGAUUAAAAAAUCCACAUACAAAUUUAACUGUUUCUUUGAGCUUAUCAAAGCAAAAUUAAUAUUUUCCUCCUAUAAAUAUUUGUCUCGCCUUUAUGAGAACAUGUGUGAAAGCCCUGGGCUGAGAGGCAAAGGGAAGGGGAGAAAGCCGAAAGCCAGUUGGGUUCCUCUGUUGGAAUAUUAUGGUUUCCAAAGCACUGGACUAGGUCUCAUUCUUCACUUUCUUAGAGGCCCAGGAGGAAGGAGACGGGACUGGGCAGAGCAGGCUCUCUCUGGGGUGGCACUGGAUUGCCCCACACAAGCUGUGGUCCUCAGAUGAUGCUCUGUCCAUCCUCUUCUAUCUUCACUUUGCUGCCAGAUGCCUCCCUUCUCCCUUCUCCCCAGGGCUGCUCUCCUUCUUAUAGAUCUUGUGGGUUAAAAGAAGAAAGCAGGACCAUGUUGGGCGCUGGCUGAGUGUAGAGUUCCUGUUGUCUCAGAUUCUGACUCCUGGGUCUGAAUUGGGGAGGGGCAGGCAAAGAAGAGCAUGAGUAAAUGAAACACACAGAUCAUCUUUGAACCAUCAAGCUCCAGGACUUUUUUUGCUCCAAAAGCUGCUGAUUUGUGAAUUUUGCCUUCUCUUAUCUUGCAUAUUUUCUCUUUGGAUGAAAGCAGAGAAAAUGAAGCUUUGCUGACAGUGCCCAGCUCUGAGCCUAGACCUCCAACACUUCUGCUCUUCCCCUUGGAAUUCUGCUGGGAUGCCAGGUUCCAGCCACAGAUAUUUCUGGGUGCCCACUGACAUUCAUUUGCUGGCAGUACAUAUAGGGAUUCCAACUCCAGGGGCAAAUCUUGAUGAAAAAGCCAGUAGUGGUGACUGCAGUCCCUUCGUGCCAUUGAACAAGAGUGAACAUGUGGCCUGCUUCUGACUGACUUACAAGGGUGGGCCCACUAGAGGGCUUUUGUAAAAGAAUUCCUUCUUUUUUUUUCUGGAGGACAGAAACACCGGAACAUAUAGUCUUGUUCUGAUUUUGCUUGCUGUCCACCAUCUUGCAGCAAUGAAGGGGGCCUACCUGAGGCUGAUGGUAACCCCAAGGAGGGCAGAGCACAGACAGUGAGAUCCCUGGGAUCCUCAGAUGCUGCGAGAGAACCAUGCUCGCAGUCUAUGCUGUUUUUCCUUGGAAUUUUCCCCUUUGUCUAAGCCAGUUGGAUUUGUUUUUAAACUAGCAGCCAAAAGUCUUCUAAUGAAUGGAGAGUCACCAUUAUCAGUUAAAGGGGUCUGGGCAUCUGGUUGCUGAGUCCUAUAUUCCUACAAAAUACAAAGUGAAAGCCCUUCAUUCCCACAAUGAACAAGCUAAGUGGUCGGAGGGCCCUGAGGCUGAACCCCAGGGGCAGGCCCCAACAUUGGGGGCCCGCUGUUUCUGAGCCACUCCUGAUUCUCUGGCAGUCUUCAGCAGCAGGGGUGAAUGCAGGGUAGGGGUAAUGGGAAAAGACCUUUGGGAAGUUCUGGGGAACACGACUGAAGUGUGGUCACAGCUCCAAGGAGACAACAUAUGUUGUGCUUGAGGGCAUCCUCCCUCCAGCUGGUCCCCACAUCUCCUCCCCACUCCUCUACUCCCAGGAACCACCCGCCUUUAUUCAGCAGGGACACCCAGAAUAUUUAACAGCUGGUAGGCCCAGACGAAGAGCAAUCACAACAGAGGCUGCUGCAGUUCUGGGGUAGGCUCUUGGAGCCCUCUGUUUUGGGCUCAUGGGGAAGUUGGGAGUCAUUGUGGGGAAAGAGUGUCCUUGAGGAAGGGUCAGGGGAGACAGGGUAGAAGAUGGAUAUUGUGGGGCAGAUGGAUGGGCAGUUGAUAUAGUGAGUGUUUACCAGUUUGAACUCAUUUUUCAAAACUUAAGACAAAUUAUAACAUCCUGUUUAGCCAUUCUGGGGCAUAGCAGGACUAUUCUACAGGGUCCAGCAGAAGUAAUGCCUACUUGAGUGUGGUUGGUAGAAUUAUAAUAUGGGUGUAAUAAUUUAUAGGCUUAAUUUGGAUAUUUCACCUAAAAUGUCAUAUGGUGUGCUUGAGUGUGAUAGUGUUAUGUUAUAGAAUUACAUGCUUAUGAUUUUGUAGUAAAAGGUAUUGUAAUACAACGUGGGGCGUUAUUUAUGCCAGACCCUGCAUUCUAAUGCGUACAAUAUUCUGUGUGUGUUCUGCAGCCAGCAGACCCCAGAGGCCAAGGGCAACUGUGAUGCUUACUCAUUUGCAUAUACUCAGCCCUCAGCACAACCCCCAUCACACAGGCCAUCUCAACACAGUUGGAUGAAUGAAAUAGAAUCACCAAUGUAAACCAAAACACAUUCUCUUAGCCUAGUCCAGAUUCUGAAUAAGGAAGAAUCUGACGGGUCACAGCCAUUUUCCUCUGAAACAAUCAUUGCUUUGGAGCAGAGUUAUGGGGAGCUAAGGUGACCUCUGACGUUCCGACCCCCUUCACCCUGAGAUAGCUCAAGAUUAAACUGUCUCAUGGAGGAGAGCAGAUGGCAGACUUGCUGCGGGGAGAGAGCAGCCCCCUGUGUCUCGCAGGCCGUGGAGCACGCUGUGCCCUGAGCUGCCGGGCCUCCAUCAUCAUUAGUGAUUCAACAGUUCUCAUUUGACUGAGAAAAGGCGCAAAGGCCCGCUCCCCACAACCUUGCCCUGGGGAACUCCUAAAAUAAGCCUGGAAUCCCAGGACUUGGACACGGUCUACUUCUCCGAGGCACUGCUGCCGUGUCCUAUUCAUCCUUCCCCCAAUGCCACGCAUGGCAGGGGGUCAGGGGCCAUCUGCUGGGAGUGAGGGUGAGGGAAUGAAUGAAUGUGUGAAUGAAUGAAUGAGUGAGGGCACCCUCCUUUGCAAGUUUGGGUGGAGAAUGCAUGAAAGGAACUUUGGAGUCCUAUUAAUGUGUGUUCACGUCCAAAUCUUGUCAUUUAAUGGCUAUUGACUUCAGGUAAACUUCUUCACUUCUGUAAGUUUGUUUCUUGUGUACAAAUAGGUAUAAUAAAACUGACGUUUCAGGUUCACAACUCAUGUA